GGUGGGGUGGCAGAGCGGCCUAACGCGCCUGCCUUGAGAGCAGAUGGCCUACAAGCCUCAUGGGUUCAAAUCCCAUCCCCACCG
rfam:Natronorubrum tibetense GA33 contig_42, whole genome shotgun sequence.